CUGAGCUUCUCCAACCCACUGGUAAACACUACCCUGCUGGAGAACAGCACUGCUGUGAGGAUGGAGAAAGACAGUUUUCAGGUAAAUUCAUGCUGGCCAUGAUGAUGGCUCAGGGCUGCUGAUUCUCCUGGAGGAGAUUCUACUGAAUUGUGAUUUUCAACAUCUUGUUCUUGGCAUCUAAAAAAGAAGUCAGGUGAACAGGACAAAGUAGAAGUUGAGGUGCCUCAAGAGAUGUCAUGGUAGCUCAAACCCACAUAAAAUCACAUCUGGAGCCUCCAAGGUCUAUAAUUACAGAACCAAGCCAUGAGAACAUGGUUUACUGUAACCCUAAGAAUUAGACAAUACAAAGAAUGACUCAACUUCAGUCUACCUUCUUAGGAAGCUGCAGGACAAACCACAAAGCCUGAAAUACAGAAAGGUUCCCUGUUUACCUGAUGACCCUGGUUAAAUGAACACUCAGGUACCCUGCUGAAAGAGCUGAUGCAUUUCCAUGACAAUGGGGCUGACAUGUGCUUUAACUGGACCCAAAGAGGCUGCAGUGUAGGGAGAGCUCCAGGCACAUGGUUGUCCCCCAGCAACAAGGUUUGAACAGGAAAGGACCUGGGGUCGAAAGCCCUCCCAGGAUGACAAGUAGAGAAGUGUGUCUACUGAAGCCUAAACCCAGCAGAGAAGAAGGAGAACUGAGUAAAGCAAAUGAGAAACUGAGUCCUGCUGAUGAAGAAAGGUCCUGAAUUGAGGAGAAACAGAAUGCUUACACUUACCUGUCCCUAGAUUUUCAGUCACAUAAGCUAAUUACUCAUCUUUCAGUUAAAGGUAUUUGAGAUUAAAUUUGCUUUCACUUUUAACUUCUAGUUGGAAAAUAAACCUAACUAAAAUUUUCAAUUGAUUUCUUCUUCCCCAAUCCAAAAUUUUAUACUAUAGUCAGACAAUGCAUAACCCAAGUCUCACAUUCUGAAGGCUUGAAUCUUGGAGGGCUUCAGACUCAAAUGUCCAUUCUCCUUUUCUUCCUGGAAAAUUAUAUUUACCUAUUAAGUUUCACUUACCUGCUCUCUCCUUUGUAAAAUUCUAUCCCUCCUCACCAGCAUUUCCAAUGAAUCAAUAUGUUUACAUUAUCAUAUCUAAAGUUGACAACAAAAACAACUUGUUAAUUUGUUGUGUGCAUCUCUUAGAUGUAAUAAAAAUUGUU